rnacentral:rRNA from 1 species
GACAGAGGAUGCAAGCGUUAUCCGGAAUGAUUGGGCGUAAAGCGUCUGUAGGUGGCUUUUUAAGUCCGCCGUCAAAUCCCAGGGCUCAACCCUGGACCUGCAUUCGAUACGGGCAGACUAGAGUGCGGUAGGGGAGAAUGGAAUUCCUGGUGUAGCGGUGGAAUGCGCAGAUAUCAGGAGGAACACCGAUGGCGAAGGCAGUUCUCUGGGCCGUAACUGACGCUGAGGAGCGAAAGCGUGGGGAGCGAACAGG